CCUACGGGAGGCAGCAGUGGGGAAUAUUGCACAAUGGGGGAAACCCUGAUGCAGCGACGCCGCGUGAAGGAAGAAGUACUUCGGUACGUAAAGCUCUAUCAGCAGGGAAGAAAAUGACGGUACCUGAGUAAGAAGCCACGGCCAACUACGUGACAGCAGGCGGGAUAAGACGGAGGGGGCAGGCGUUAUCCGGAUUUACUGGGUGUAAAGGGAGCGUAGACGGUGGGUCAAGUCUGGAGUGAAAUGCGGCAGCUUAACUGAGGAAUUGCGUUGGAAACUGGCGAACUAGAGGGCGGGAGGGGUAGGCGGAAUUCGUGGUGUAGCGGUGAAAUGCGUAGAUAUCAGGAAGAACACCGGUGGCGAAGGCGGCUUACUAGACCGUAACUGACGUUGAGGCUCGAAAGCGUGGGGAGCAAACAGGAUUAGAUACCCGAGUAGUC
rnacentral:rRNA from 1 species